rnacentral:lncRNA from 1 species
UUCGAGGCAGUUUCCGGCCAAACUACGGCGAACUAGGUGUUGGGAAAGGUACCAUUCUCUUUGUCUCUUCAAGGGCUACAACUUUCGUUUUUGAAUCACUUGAUUUCGUUGAGAAAUGACAAAGUUAUGGUAAUUUGAAAAACUGCCCAGAAAACGGCCGCCGGAAAAACCAGUCCGGCGACCCAAGGAAGAAGAAGGUGCUACAGUAAAAAAAUAAAUAAAAAUAAAAUUAUUUUAAAAAUAUGUCGACGUCCGUGACGUCGAGUAGAUCACCGUGGUAUAUUCAUAUACCCAAAUUGAACACCGUAUGAGAAAGUUAUUGAAGAUUGUUGGUUAGGUGUUCAAAUAACGUUUUUAUAGUUUUCACAUUUAGGUGAAAAUGUGAAUUGAUGAUCCGACCGUUGGAUCGUCACCAAACUUUGAUACGUUGUAAUACGUAAUAUUUGAGGAUUAUUGGAACUUACGGAUUGGGAAUCCGAGUUACGGAUCUUCCGGAAUUGGAAUUUGUAAGUCCAUAAUAUAAAAUGUUAACCGUCACUUAGUUUUGGAAAUUGACGGAGAUCCGACCGUUGGAUGGUAAUGAAAUUUUAGGAUGUUGUCCUAGAGGUAUAAUGUGGACCUCUGGAAGUUAUGGAUUUAAAAUCUGAGUGGCAGAUCUUCCGGAUCGAUCUACGUAGUGACGUAUUUUAUAUAAGUUAUAUAUUCUAUCGAUAUGAAUUCUGAGGUUGGAUUUGAUUACUGUUCUAGGCGGCGAUCGUCAUGACGCCUUGAUGUGUGGUGCUAGGGAGUUGUUGGACGAACUCCAGGUGAGUGGGCAGUUUUGUUUUCCGUAUAUACAUAUAUAAUUGACGUUUCCCAGAAAUUGAAAAUGUUACGAAAGUAUGCUUUAAAUGCAAAGUAUAAAAAAGUAUGUUUUCAAAUGCCAUGAGUAGAUUAUAUGAAAGAUAUGAUUUGAGAUAUAUUAGUUGAAAUACCAUGCUUAGAAGUAUGUGAAAAGUAUAUAGAAAUGUGAAUCGAAAUGCCAUGCAUGAAAUGAUAUGAAAAGUAUGAAUUGAGAUAUGAUGCAUAUGUAUGAAUUGGUGCUGUGGACGCACAGGUGAGUAUCAGGUGAGUAUAUUACUGCUAUGAUGAUGUUGAGAGAUAUAUUGAGCUCAUAACCUGCACCUUGGUAUUAGUGCUUAUUAUUAUUCACCGCAUCGCAUGCUCACCUUGGAUCCAAGUAGAUGCUAGUCGUACAGACCACCGGGGGUGGUUCCGACAUGCCAGUCGUACAGACCAUUAGAGGGGUUCCGACUGGUAGGUGACCUUAGAUUAUGUGCACAGAUGAUUGAUGAGAAAAAGCACUAGAGCAUAUUAUUACACCAUUAAGUCGUACAGAUUACAUUAGGUAAUUCCGACUUAUGUGCAGUGUAGUGCCGUACAGGUCAUACUAGGUGACUCCGGCAUGGCCGAACAGGUCACAGUUGGUGACUCCGGUUAUAUGAGAUUUUGAGCUCUACAUUCAGCCGUACAGGACCAUUGUAGGGUCUCCGGUUGAUUUCUUUCUUGCACCUGAUAUGAUUAUUGCUGAUGCAUUCAUACUUAACUGUUGAAUUUAGACAUGGCAUGGCAUGAUUGAUAAAGAUAAAUGUUGAGAUAGUAAAAAUGAAGUUUUGAUAAUAUAUAUGUAUAUUUAUAUUUUACAUUUCUGGGAAAGUAUACAGGUUUUACGGAGAGGGGUUACAACGUUUUGAGAAAUGUUUGGAUUUGGAAAAGAAUUGUUUUACUGACCCACUCAAUUUUGGUUUUGCGCCCCUCCAGGUUCAUGAAUCACAAAGGUGUGGUGACUACGAGGAAUUCGACGGUGUUCUGACAGAUUGGACAAAAUUAGGACUCACUUUCGGGUGUAUCAACUUAGGAAUUGUAUCUUAAAGCUUCCGUACUGUGCAAAUGGUUACGUCACUCUCACGUGACGGCCAGCAUGCCCUCCUUCGGGACGGGGUGUGUCACAAAUAAUUCAAAACCUGUCUCUAACUCUCUGAUCCAAUGAUCCAAAUAAUUAAGUAAUGUUAACAAUUACAUGUUAAUUUUUUUUAAGUAAUUAAGUAAUGUUAACAAUCACCAUGUUUUAUAUUAGGAUUAUUUUAUUAUCAAAUUGGAUUAUUCAUUAAAUUGGAUUAUUAUCAAAUUUGAUUAUUAUUCAUCACCAUGUUUUAUAUUAGGAUUAUUUUUUUAUGAAAUUGGAUUAUUAUUCAUUAAAUUAGAUUAUUAUUCAUUAAAUUGGAUUAUUAUCAAAUUGGAUUAUUAUUCAUCACCAUGUUUUAUAUUAGGAUUAUUUUUUUAUGAAAUUGGAUUAUUCAUUAAAUUGGAUUAUUAUCAAAUUGGAUUAUUAUUCAUCACCAUGUUUUAUAUUAGGAUUAUUGUACUAAUUCAUUAUAUAUAAAUUAUUAUGAUGUGUUUAGACUUCUUUCAUUAAUUACUACAUAUUUUCUACAUUCACAAUGUUUGUCAGCUAGCUAUAUAAUCAACUUGAUAAUGCUAAAUCCAUCAUGCAAUGCAUUUCUUUCCAAUUUUUUGUGAUAAACUAAUAGAUAAUUGACUAAAU